GUGACUUACGUAAGUAUGAUCUCAAGCCAUGAGAAGGAUGUUGCCCAAUUAACAACAUGUUUUAAUUCAGGGGUAUUUAUCAAUGCCAGCCAUUAAAAGUCUCUCUUUUUCAGUGAUCAGGAACAGUAAACCCCUAUCAUUUGCCAUGUGGAAACCGAACCUUCACUAACUUUAUAUGCAAGGAAGCAAGUUUUAUCAAGAUCACCAUACUAUGACAAAAUGGAAGUUGUACACCCAAACAAACUUGCUGCCUGUGAUCUGGAGCAGUCUGUGAGUGAUCUGGAGCCAUCUGCCCGUGAUCUGGAGCUAUCUGUGGAUAGUCAGGAGCAGUCUGCAGAACCCACAAGAGGAGGACACACUCUGGUAAGGAGGGGUGUACCUUGAGGAACUGAAGAAACUUGAAGCCAAGUAUCCUAUACGACUGGUAUGGAAAAGAUCUAUUGGCACCAAGACAUUCUACUUAAAUACUGGACUGCAAUGGAACUAGUCUGGAAAAACAACUCUUUGGGGGAAAAACUGAUUUCCAUGGCCUUUUUCAGACUCAGACCAGGAUUGGUGUCUGGUUAAGUGAUCUGCUCAGAGUCACACAAAGUUAGCCAAUGGAGGCUGAGGAAUCAAACCUUGCAACACUGGACCACAGGAAAGAGCAUAACCACAACUUAAUCCUCUAAGCCAACUGCUUGACAUAAUAAAUACAAUUUCUUUAAUUAAACAUCUUCAAACAUA